UUUGUCCCAACACAGGAGGCAUUUGGGACAUCACGCCUGCCCUUUUAUACUCAGGGAAACUGAAGCCUGGAGUAAGAAGGCUAAACCGGACUCAACUGGCCACCCCUGGCACCCUGAGGCAGCCAGAUGGUGAAGGUGUCAAUCAGGCCUCCUGGAGGUUUCCAGGGGUGACUUUGAGAUUCCAGAAGAACCCAAGAGUUGUGUCAGAUAUGUUCUACGCAGGAGAAGCAAGGUUACCUGGGUCUGCUGGCCUCCAUCGAUUGCAUGGGCCCGACCUUUAUUUUACAACCUGGAGGCCCCAUGCCAGGACCUGGUCUGCAUCUUGGAGCUGCUUUCCCCCAAGCUCCCUGCAACCCCCUCAGCUUCCAUCUACCGGAGGAGGGAUAGGGUCAGAGCCUCCCCUUCCCUCACCUUCCACCCCAGGCCGACAGUGCAGAGAAGACGCACCUCAAGAACAAGGGUGGGAAAGAAAGCCACAUAAGCCAGGAAGAUCGGUGAAAGCCUUGGUUUAAUUGGAGACAAGAUCGAAGGAUUGAUUAUCGAUCAAUGGACUGACUGAUUGAUCGUCAAAGUGGACAAUACUCGAGGGGUCCUCUGUAACCCCCCUGGAGAGAGGAGCCCUGAUUUGGGGAGGGAUGGUCCAUCAAUUGUAGCCAGCCCCACCCGCCCUGGGACAGGCUAUACUCAGCCCUCACCCCCAGAUGAACUAACUCCCCAUCAAACAACAGCGCUGAGCCCA